rnacentral:lncRNA from 1 species
AUCCUACUGCCUCAGGACAAAAUAUAUAACCCUCUGUGAAACUGGACAUUUCUUUUUGUGGCAGGUUACUAGAGUUCUCAAAUGACAACUCACACACUAACUGUGAGGGAUGAUCCUUGUGCUGCUAAGAUGAAGGUCCUCUUGGGGGUAGUCCUGGUUGGGUAAUUAGAUACUUGACUUAGGUCCUCUCCCUGGCUUCCUUCUAAGUCUUAAGUCACCUCCUUGGGCUGUGCUUUUUCUUGUGUCAAGUAAAGUCGUACCCAAAUAUUUAAUCUUUGAGCAGUUAUAUUCAAUAGUUAAGAAUGUGAAUACUGACAUUCAUUUAAGUAAAAAACAAACAAUAUUUUAUCUGCAACAAGUUAAGAAUCCUCAGGACUUGGAAAAAUUCUGUUCUGAAAACAUCAAAUAUAUUCUGAGAUAAAAGAUAAGGUCCCUGGCGAUUGUCUGUACAUAUCCCGUAUUUUACAGUGAAGAGGCUUCAAGGAGUAUAAAUUUAUGAUUUCCAGGCUGGUAUCAAAGACACUUAUUGGGUCUCAAGCCUUGUUUGGGUGGCUUGACCAGUGGUAGAGCAUAGCAUCUUUGUGAGAAAUAUUAAAGAUUCAUUGUUUGCAGAGGUAGAUUAUGAGGCAUGAUGAAUGACAGUUUUAAUGGGUAUGGGUUUAGUUCUCCAAAAUUAAGGGUUAGAACCAAAGAUUCAUUUCAUGUUAACCUAGGAGUUCCCUCCCUUAGCAUGGUGAUGUGCUCUCCAAACAAGGCACGCGAAAGCUGAUUUGCAAACUUUGCUGAUUUUUGUUGUAUUAAUAUUCCCAUCAUAGCCAACUUCAACUAUCAAUGUGAAGUCACUGAGCAUAGAGUAGGGAAGAGGUGCACAGAAUCAGCUUUCAGGAGCAGUUACUAGCUGGAUCCAGCAUACCACUCUAUCCAUGAUGAUGAUGGCAUCGAUUGCCCCUGUCCAGGCCUCCCUCACCUCACUGGCAGCCUGAGAAUUUGUGAAGUUACUUUAAAAAUUAAUAACUUAUUUACAAAAGAGUAUUUAUGGCUCAGUCUCUGUGGCUACAUAUUACAUUUGCUUUACAAAAAUCAUAAAUGUUAAAAUCAGAGAGAAAGUCCUAUUAAGGAACUACACUAAAGGGUAAUUAAAUCAUUAUAUUAUGUUGUUUGGUUACUUUAUGAGG